rnacentral:rRNA from 1 species
UACGAAGGGUGCAAGCGUUAAUCGGAAUUACUGGGCGUAAAGCGUGCGUAGGCGGUGACUUAAGUCUGUUGUGAAAUCCCCGGGCUCAACCUGGGAAUGGCAAUGGAUACUGGGUCGCUAGAGUGUGAUAGAGGAUGGUGGAAUUCCCGGUGUAGCGGUGAAAUGCGUAGAGAUCGGGAGGAACAUCAGUGGCGAAGGCGGCCAUCUGGAUCAACACUGACGCUGAGGCACGAAAAGCGUGGGGAGCAAACAGGG